rnacentral:rRNA from 1 species
CAAUAGCGUAUAUUAAAGUUGUUGCAGUUAAAAAGCUCGUAGUUGGAUUUCUGGGGGGAGCAGCCGGUAUUUCGCAGAAGCGUUAGAACUUGUGCUGUCUCCUGCCAUUCUUGUGGAGAACUUGCCCUGUAUUCGUUUACCGGGUUUGGGAUCCGCAUCAUUUACUGUGAAAAAAUUAGAGUGUUCAAAGCAGGCGUUUGCUUGAAUAUAUUAGCAUGGAAUAAUAAGAUAGGACUUUGGUGCUAUUUUGUUGGUUUGCAGCCCAAGGUAAUGAUUAAUAGGGAUAGUUGGGGGUAUUCAUAUUUUGUUGUCAGAGGUGAAAUUCUUGGAUUUACGAAAGAUGAACUAGUGCGAAAGCAUUUACCAAGGAUGUUUUCAUUA